AUUGAACGCUGGCGGCAGGCUUAACACAUGCAAGUCGAGCGGAAACGAUGAUAGCUUGCUAUCAGGCGUCGAGCGGCGGACGGGUGAGUAACGCGUAGAUAGCUGCCCAGUAGUGGGGGAUAGCCCGGGGAAACUCGGAUUAAUACCGCAUACGCUCUACGGAGGAAAGAGGGCUUCGGCUCUCGCUAUUGGAUGUGUCUGCGUGGGAUUAGCUAGUUGGUGAGGUAAGGGCUCACCAAGGCGACGAUCUCUAGCUGGUCUGAGAGGAUGAUCAGCCACACUGGGACUGAGACACGGCCCAGACUCCUACGGGAGGCAGCAGUGGGGAAUAUUGCACAAUGGGCGCAAGCCUGAUGCAGCCAUGCCGCGUGUGUGAAGAAGGCUUUCGGGUUGUAAAGCACUUUCAGUAAGGAGGAAGGCCUCGUAGUUAAUACCUGCGAGGAUUGACGUUACUUACAGAAGAAGCACCGGCUAACUCCG
rnacentral:rRNA from 1 species